CCAGGUUUAAUCCACCAUUUUCUACAUUUGAAAAUGCCUGUACCAAGUCAGGAAUAUGACAGUUCUUGUCGAUUCGUUUUAAUGUGUUUUGUCGUUUGAUUUUGCCAUGUGAUUAUGGAUUUUCCUCUGAGUUUAGUAAUUUAGAUUUUACUUUUCACUCGUCGAAACUAACCUAUUUCUUACCGUCCGGCUACAUCUGCAGCAGAUUAACA
rnacentral:lncRNA from 1 species